UUACGGCCAUAUCAGGUUGAAACAUCGGUUCCCUUGUGACCACCGAUUUUAAGCAACGUCGAGCCUGGUCAAGUACCUUGAUAGGUGACCUGUUGGCAAUGCCAUGUGCUGUAA